CAUUAGAUGUCUGAAAGCAAGUAAUGGUCUCUUAAAUCAUAUUAUAGUAAAUUAGCACUUACUUCUAAUGA
rnacentral:tRNA from 1 species